UACGUAGGUGGCAAGCGUUGUCCGGAAUUAUUGGGCGUAAAGCGCGCGCAGGUGGUUUCUUAAGUCUGAUGUGAAAGCCCACGGCUCAACCGUGGAGGGUCAUUGGAAACUGGGGAACUUGAGUGCAGGAGAGAAGAGUGGAAUUCCACGUGUAGCGGUGAAAUGCGUAGAGAUGUGGAGGAACACCAGUGGCGAAGGCGACUCUUUGGCCUGUAACUGACACUGAGGCGCGAAAGCGUGGGGAGCGAACCGG
rnacentral:rRNA from 1 species